GAUGAACGCUGGCGGCGUGCCUAAUACAUGCAAGUCGAGCGAAUGGAUUGAGAGCUUGCUCUUAUGAAGUUAGCGGCGGACGGGUGAGUAACACGUGGGUAACCUGCCCAUAAGACUGGGAUAACUCCGGGAAACCGGGGCUAAUACCGGAUAACAUUUUGAGCCGCAUGGUUCGAAGUUGAAAGGCGGCUUCGGCUGUCACUUAUGGAUGGACCCGCGUCGCAUUAGCUAGUUGGUGAGGUAACGGCUCACCAAGGCAACGAUGCGUAGCCGACCUGAGAGGGUGAUCGGCCACACUGGGACUGAGACACGGCCCAGACUCCUACGGGAGGUAGCAGUAGGGAAUCUUCCGCAAUGGACGAAAGUCCGACGGAGCAACGCCGCGUGAGUGAUGAAGGCUCUCGGGUCGUAAAACUCUGUUGUUAGGGAAAAACAAGUGCUAGUUGAAUAAGCUGGCACCUUGACGGUACCUAACCAGAAAGCCACGGCUAACUACGUGCCAGCCGCCGCUGUAA
rnacentral:rRNA from 1 species